GUGGUCUCAUCGCAGAACUAAGAUCGUCGCCGAAACAAAGACGGUUCUGACAGUUGUUGGAGGAAAGAAAGAGAGGGAGGCUCCACACCACUCCCUCGCUUGAGCUUUACAGACGCUCCCCACCCCUUGGCUGCAAGCCUUCUAAUAAAUGUACCCUGUGCACACAAACCAUGUGGAAUUCCGGUUCUCUGGCAGCGUUUGAACUGCUGAUCUGCGGUCAAGAAUACAGAGUUCAUCUCAGCCUAUGAUGCCCUUCAGUCCUUUGACUUUUUGGCCCUGAUGGAAACAUGGAUCACCCCAGAGAACACUGCUACUCCAGCUGCUCUCUCUUCAUCUGACUACUUUUUUUCUCAGUCUGAGAGCAUCUGGUCGUUGCGGUGUUGGCACAGGUCUACUCAUUUCUCCCAAGGGAAGAUUUGUCUUUUCUCCCUCACUCACCUGUCCAUCUCCUCAAUUUAAUCGCAUGCUGACACUGUCACUUGUACACAAGAGCUUAACAUUGUUGUCAUCUAUCUCCCACCAGGUGCCCUUAGAGUUGUUCUGAGCGAUUAACAAAAAUGACUUGUUUUUUUCUCUCUGGUUAUUAAACAACUAAUUGACCGAA